rnacentral:rRNA from 1 species
UACGUAGGGUGCAAGCGUUAAUCGGAAUUACUGGGCGUAAAGCGUGCGCAGGCGGUUUUGUAAGCCAGAUGUGAAAUCCCCGGGCUUAACCUGGGAAUGGCAUUUGGGACUGCAAGGCUUGAGUGCGGCAGAGGAGACUGGAAUUCCUGGUGUAGCAGUGAAAUGCGUAGAUAUCAGGAGGAACACCAAUGGCGAAGGCAGCUCGCUGGGACGGUACUGACGCUGAGACGCGAAAGCGUGGGGAGCAAACAGG